rnacentral:rRNA from 1 species
CCUACGGGGGGCAGCAGUGGGGAAUCUUGCGCAAUGGGCGAAAGCCUGACGCAGCGACGCCGCGUGAGUGAUGAAGGCCUUCGGUUGUAAAGCUCUGUGGAGAGAGGGGCGGUAUCUCCUUAGCAAGCACCGGCUAACUCUGUGCCAGCAGCCGCGGUAAGACAGAGGGUGCAAACGUUGUUCGGAAUUACGGGCGUAAAGCGUGUGUAGGCGGCCAUGUAAGUCGGAUGUGAAAGCCCUGGGCUCAACCCAGGAAGUGCACUCGAUACUGCGUGGCUUGAGUGUCGGAGAGGUUGGUGGAAUUCUCGGAGUAGAGGUGAAAUUCGUAGAUUUCGGGAGGAACACCGGUGGCGAAGCGGCCAACUGGACGAAACUGACGCUGAGACACGAAAGCGUGGGGAGCAAACAGGAUUAGAUACCCUUGUAGUC